UAUAUUGAUGCAUUUUUAAAAUGAAGAAAUAGUGUUCACAUUUUGUUUUCAAAACAAUCCAUUUGGUGACAUAAUCUUAGUAUUUGUUUAUAAAUUGUCAAUCCUUUUAAAUAAUCACCAGUGUGUAUAAAAUGGUCCUUGGGUCAUAAGACAGAUGAAAAAUGAUCCAGUCAAAAACAAUUGCGCGAAGGAAGCAUCUGAAUGGUAACAAUACUGUAGUCAAUGGAAAAACCUCCAACAAAAGACCAUCUAAUGCCAGAACCUAUAGAUCUAUACCUAAGUUGCUUUGUGUGAUAUGUUUAGUAUCAUUACUUUUUCUGGGUAUAGUGUAUUUAAGAAAUAAAUCCAAUAUAGUCUUGAAGAAUUCUGAGCCCCAUGGAAUGCUACACCCACCAAAUCCACAAAUAAUAGAUACCAAAGUGAUACCAUCAUACACACCGUUGCACAUUUUCCAACAUGCUGCCGUGUGCUCGGAUUCUGAACUAUGCAGCAGAAUAGGAAGGGAUAUGUUUAAAAAAAAUGGAUCCAUCAUUGAUGCAACACUCGCCACGAUGUUUUGUGCAGGUAUGACAAAUAUGCAAUCAAUGGGCAUAGGUGGAGGGUUCGUUAUGAACAUUUAUAUCAAAAGUGAACAAAAAGCUUACACUCUAGAUGCUCGUGAAAUAUCUGCAAUAGCGGCCACUGAAGAUAUGCAUUUGCAUGAUCCUUCAACUACUAACGAAGGCCCAUUAUCAAUUGCUACUCCGGGCGAGCUGAAAGGAUACUGGGAAGCACACAAACGUUUUGGAAAGCUCUCCUGGAAAGAAAUAAUGCAACCUUGUAUAGAAAUCUGUAAAAACGGAUUCGAAAUGUCCAAGCAUAUGUAUGAUUCUUUGCAUACGAAUUCUAAAGUUCAAUUCGAUAGACAAUUGCGUGAAAUGUACUUCGAUGAUAUUACACAUGAAUUUUAUAAACCCGGAACUAUCAUAAAACCAAAUCUAAUAUGUAAAACUCUAGAGUAUAUUGCUGAAAAUGGUGGAAAUUCAUUGUAUCACGGAAAGCUUGCGGACGAGUUAGCCGAAGAUCUGAAGGACUUGGGUAGCAUUAUAACCAAGAAAGAUCUUGAAUCAUAUGAUGUACGAUGGAACGAUUCCAUCCCAAUUGAUAUAAAUGGAGAUACCAUGUACGUAAUUCCGCCACCCGCCUGCGGUGUUCUAGUUAGCUUUAUAAUCAAUAUCCUGAAAAACUAUAAUUUUAAGCCUGAUGAUUUAUCUACCGUUAAUUCAACUAUUCUCACCUACCAUCGCAUCAUAGAAGCAUUCAAGCAUACAUAUGGCAAACGAACUCUAAUAGGUGAUCCAAAGUUUGUUAAUAUCGAUGAUCUUGUUCGCGAUCUUACGUCGCCAGAAUAUGCUGAAAAGAUCAGAUUGAAAAUACAUGAUGAUAGUACAAAGCAACUGCCACAAGAUUAUGGCGCCCAAUUCUAUAUGGAGGACAGUCACGGAACAGCCCAUAUUUCUGUGAUAGGCCCAAACGGAGAUGCAGUAUCUGUGACCAGUUCAGUCAAUUUCUACUUUGGCGCUGCACUAACUGGCAAACGAACAGGAAUAAUUGUAAAUAGUGGUAUGGAUGACUUUUCGUCUCCUGGACUAAAGAACUACUUUGGGCUCCCCGGAUCAGAGCGAAAUUACAUCAAACCUCAAAAACGUGCUCUUUCUUCUAUGUCACCAACAAUUGUCGUAGGAAGGGACGGAAAAGUAAAAUUAGUCGUUGGAGCAGCCGGAGGAACGAAAAUAACGACAGCUGUCGCAAUGAUUAUUUCUGCUGCCUCUGCACUCCUUGCUGUCGUUCGAUUCCGAUCACGUGGCUUCGACGUGCUGCCUCGUGGAUCGUCAAUUCGUUGGUAGCGAGCCGCGUGGCUUGUUUCGAUAUUCCACCUGUUGCUAUGGGCCUUGGUUGCGUUUAGAUGACCUCGCAUCUGCGUGGUGACUUCAGGAAACUAUUCAGUCAUGUCAAACUGAGGCUUCCAAUAGUCAACACCGGUGAAACAACGUCAUAUCGGUUAUUGAAUUCAGAUACAUCGAGCAAUACGGAACAUUUGAACAAGACUGUAGCUUACCCGAGUUCCGAGCCACUAAAUUCCAUUUGACUUUAGUCAUACCGGCUGGAAUAUAAUAUAGAAUUCUGGCCGUCUAAGAGACAAGUAUUUUAAUUGCGCAUUCAUUUUUUUGACAUUAAAAAUGUCUUACUCCACUAUCUGGGGCUAGGUGUCAUUCUAAAAUCUAAACUAUCUCCCAUGUAACGAAACUAUGUAAGGUUUGCACGCUUAUAACUCCGAUAUUACUAGAUGGAUUUUAAUCAUUCAUACACCAACCGAUUCAGAAACACCUAACUUAAAUAUUGGUAAUAAUUUAAUAUCUCCCCAAUAAAAGUAGACUUUUGGAAAUUGGUAAAAUUAAAAAGUUCACAAAAAACGGGAAAAAUACCAUUCGUGAGGCAGAUUUCUCAGACACAGCCGUUAAAAGAGGGCAGCUUAGUUGCUCAAUGAAACACGAAAAGUCAUAAAUAGAAGCAACGCAUGUCCGUUUAAAUCAGUUGUUCCUCUUAUCCCACACGAGCAACGUCGUCUCCGGGCGAUGCAAUAAGCGCUAUCGAUUUUCGGUAACGUUGGCAUUUGCACACACUCGCACCUAAGUGACUAAACCAUAUACGGUUAGUUUAUAAAUAGAGGUGACGCGUACCCGUUUGAAUCAGUUUUUGUUCUUAUGUCGAACGGGUAAGAUCAUGGCUGCAGCGUCUGGGCACUACAAUAAGCGGU